CCUACGGGAGGCAGCAGUCGAGAAUCUUCGGCAAUGGGCGCAAGCCUGACCGAGCGACGCCGCGUGCGGGAUGAAGGUCUUCGGAUUGUAAACCGCUGUCGGAGGGGAUGAAAUGCCGGGCCGUAAUUCAUAAUCGGUCCGGUUUGACAGAGCCUCGGAGGAAGCACGGGCUAAGUUCGUGCCAGCAGCCGCGGUAAUACGAACUGUGCGAACGUUAUUCGGAAUCACUGGGCUUAAAGGGUGCGUAGGCGGCGGCUCAAGUCAGGUGUGAAAUCCCCCGGCUCAACCGGGGAACAGCGCUUGAAACUAGGUCGCUCGAGUGAGGCAGGGGUGUAUGGAACUUCCGGUGGAGCGGUGAAAUGUGUAGAUAUCGGAAGGAACGCCGGCGGCGAAAGCGGUACACUGGGCCUUGUCUGACGCUGAGGCACGAAAGCUAGGGGAGUGAACGGGAUUAGAUACCCCGGUAAUCCUAGCCGUAAACACUGAGCACUGGAGGGAGGGUUUCGGCCCUUUCUCUCGCNGCGAAGACGUAGUGCUCCGCCGUGGGAGGUAGUGGUCGCGAGGCGUGUAACGUACGUUAAAGUUAGUAAGUUAGUUACGGCGUUGAGACGNGCCGACGGACGACGACGAGGGAGGAGG
rnacentral:rRNA from 1 species